rnacentral:rRNA from 1 species
CCUACGGGAGGCAGCAGUGGGGAAUAUUGGGCAAUGGACGCAAGUCUGACCCAGCAACGCCGCGUGAAGGAAGAAGGCUUUCGGGUUGUAAACUUCUUUUAAGGGGGAAGAGCAGAAGACGGUACCCCUUGAAUAAGCCACGGCUAACUACGUGCCAGCAGCCGCGGUAAUACGUAGGUGGCAAGCGUGUUCCGGAUUUACUGGGGGUAAAGGGCGUGCAGCCGGAGAGACAAGUCAGAUGAGAAAUCCACGGGCCAACCCUGUGAACUGUAUUUGAAACUGUUUCCCUGGAGUGUCGUAGGGGUAAGCGGAAUUCCUUGUGUAGCGGUGAAAUGCGUAGAUAAGGAAGAACACCAGUGGCGAAGGCGGAUUACUGGACGAUAACUGACGGUGAGGCGCGAAAGCGUGGGGAGCAAACAGGAUUAGAUACCCUAGUAGUC